rnacentral:lncRNA from 1 species
UGUAACUUUCUAGAAGAAUUGCCUAAUCUACCUCCCCCUCAAGAGAUAGAAUAUUCCAUCAACCUAUUUCUAGGAUCUCAACCUAUUUUGAAGCUUACGUACCGUAUGAGUCGUUCUGAACCUAGUGAACUUAAACGAUAGCUCUCUGAACUUCUGGGGCAAAAGCUUAUCUGCCCCAGUCAUUCCUCGUAGGGUGCCCU